GGGGAGGGGACCCGGCUGCUCCAGGCGUCUGGCCGCCCCGGGCCGCCUGGCCCCGCUCCCGCGGCCCGGUGUGCCCUGACGAGGGAAUCCGGCCCCCUGGUCGUUCCCUGGCCAGACAAGCGCGCCGCCUGAGCGGCCCCCAGCUCUCCGUGGAUCGGAGCGCCUGGCCCCAGUCGGAUUCUUACCAGCUGGGCCCCUGGAAUGGACGCCUGGGAGCAGGACGGAGGGACGCCCAGGACGGAGAGACAGGCACCGGCUCUUGCCAGACCCUCCGUGAAGGCCCAGCCCACUAGGAACUUAUGCUCUUGGCCUCUAGGUGGGCCAGGCAUGAAGACCCCUUAGACGCAGGUCCCCUGAGUGUACAGGGAGGCAUCCGGAGACACUUCCCAAGAGGUUACCUGAACUGGGCUUUGGAGAAGGAGUCCUGAAGGGAGGCAGCAGGGGAAAGGCGAGGAGGGUUUGCAGAGGCCCCUGCAGCAGGAAGAGGGGCAAAGGUGGUCAGAGAGGUGGGCUCGGUGAAGCUGACCUGGAGACAUCGGUUCCCAGCCUACAUCACCAACUUGGUCUCCAUUGUCUUCGUGGGCUGGACAUCGCUUGGAGCCUCGAGCCAGGAUGUGCCCUUGAUGACUGCAGCCUGGGGCUUGCGUGGCUCAGGGGCUGCUGGGGUAGACCAUGGAGGACAUGGGCAGCUGGAGCUCAAUGCCAUGGAGACUGGCUCCCUGCCAUCAGAGUGGUCAGCUCCCCCACACACAGGCUAUCAGCAUCUGGGCCCUGGCUGCCUGCCCACUGCUGGCCUGGGCUCAUUCGAGUGCCCUGCCUGCUUGGCCAGAUGUCCAGUAGGCUUUGGACAGAGCCAUCUAACCUGGGGCAGAACCCAUGGGCUGUCAGAGGCCUUCACCCACCCCUUCACCCAGCACAAGGUCACCACCAAGCCAAGCUAGGAGGAAGGGACAAAAAGGCUGGACUCUCCAGCCAGCAGACCGGCGACACGUCAGCCCAGACGGAGCUGGAGUCCUUGGCCAGCACCAAGGGCUCUGCUGGGGUGGCCCCUGAUGACCCACUCUGCCAGCAGCACCAGGCUGCACCCCAACACCAGCCUGCGCCCCGUAGCAUCACGGAGGCAGGGUGUUGUUGCUGCAGAGGGCAGCACUGAGAUGGCCCGGUGAGCUCAUCUGAGCCCUGAGACCUUGGGCAGACCAGACCUCCACACACAGGCUGCAGUUGAAGAAAGUGCUCCAUCCUUCCUCCCAGCUCAGGUGUGCUGACCCCAUCCCUUCCUGACGUCCUACCCACAGAGAUGAGAUCCAUCAGGCCAGUCGCUGUCCCCUAGGGGUGGUCUCUCUCCCCUAGGGGUGGUCUCGUUCCCCGGAGACAUCUUUGUCUAACAUGCCUGGGGCAGGUGUUACUGGCCCCUCCUACAAGGCACAGAAAAGCCCUCCCACCGCCGCAACAGAGAAUUAUCUAUCCCUGGAUGUCAAUAGUGCUGAGGUUAAGACACCAUGAUUUAGGUUAACAAGGUCUUCUCUUAAAAUGCAAA